CAGUCGCCGCGGUAAUACGAAGGGUGCGAGCGUUAAUCGGAAUUACUGGGCGUAAAGCGUGCGCAGGCGGUUAUAUAAGACAGAUGUGAAAUCCCCGGGCUCAACCUGAGACCUGCGUUUGUGACUGUAUAGCUAGAGUACGGUAGAGGGGGAUGGAAUUCCGCGUGUAGCAGUGAAAUGCGUAGAUAUGCGGAGGAACACCGAUGGCGAAGGCAAUCCCCUGGACCUGUACUGACGCUCAUGCACGAAAGCGUGGGGAGCAAACAGGAUUAGAUACCCCCGUAGUCCCUGUCUCUUAUAC
rnacentral:rRNA from 1 species